rnacentral:lncRNA from 1 species
UAUAACAUCUAAGCUAAAAUGCAUCCCUCAAACUGCAUCACAGCAAAGACAAACCUGCUGGGGCAGUGUCCAGGGGCUAUGUUCAGAACUCAGGGCCAUGCGCGAAACCAGGACCUGUGAGGAGAACCCAGAGCCCUGUGUGGCACCCGGGACCUGUGUGUGGAACAUAGAACUGUUUAGAACCUGGGACCUGUGUACAAAUCCCGGGGCCUGUAUGUGGAGCCCAUAUCCUGUGUGUGAAACACAGGGUCUGUGUGGACCACAAGGUCUGUAAACAGAGCCCAGGGGUAGGUUGCACAUGAAUCCCAGCUCCUUUGGCACUCGGGGUCAGAAGGCAGAGCGGGGCCAACUCAGGAGCUGCCUGUAACCCUCUCUGUGUCUUUGAUGUCCCUUGGAAAGAGCUGCCACUCCUGCUUUUCCUAAGCUGGCCACACAGAAGGCUGUCAGGGGACGUUUGUCAAGGAUAAUCUUUAAUUGCAAAUAAAAUGAUAUGAAAAAAAGAACCAUCUGAAGGCCAGUCCUGUGGAGGUCAACCUGCCUGCACCUGCUGUCACAGGGGAAGGGUGGAGAGAUGGCAAUCUAGUCUCCUCAGUGGCAGUCCCCAGCCCCCACCCCCACACUUCCUCAGCCUCCCACAGGUUCCCAGGCCAUCACAACCCAGCCAGCAGCUACAACCUUAGCAGCAGAGGCCCCGGAGCAUGGGAGACAAGUCCCUGGGCAGGAGGGUGUGUUCAGAGAAGGGAGGGCAGAGCUGCAGAACUCCCCAGACUCCGCUGAUGAAGCACGGAGGGAAGAUUGUGGUCUAUGAGGCGAUUUGGCAGAGGGCAGGAGAGGAAUUAGAAUCAGUCUGUGCUACAACAGAAGAUUCCAAGGGAUCACGGCUUCAGUGCGCGUCUCUGCACGUGUCAAAAUCAGAAGAGGGGCAGCGUGGGCUGACUGUGGACACCCAGUGCCACAAGUCGUGGGUCCUCUGCUCUUCUUGAUCCUGUGUGUGGUUUUUCUUCCUGUAGCAACAGUGUGGUGCAAGACGGCUGCUGGUACACUAGUCAUUCUUUGUUUAAAAAGUAAGAAUGGGGGUGGGGCUGGAGAGAUGGCUCAGAGGUGAAGAGCACCGGCUGCUCUUUCAGAGGUCCUGAGUUCAAUUCCCAGCAACCACAUGGUGGCUCACAACCAUCCGUUAUGAGAUCUGGUGUCCUCUUCUGGUGUGCAGAUAUACAUGGAAGCAGAAUGUUGUAUACAUAAUAAAUAAAUAAAAUCUUUUUUUUUUUUUUAAAAA